UAAGAAGAAGAAGAAGAGGAAGAAGACCCACACAACGGCACAUGGUGAAAAAGCCGUGCUCGCUAUUCCGAGGAGACCAGCUGUUCAACAGACUUCAUCUUCGGAGCAGAGGAAGUUGGGGAGUAACAAGAGGAGGGUGGAAACCCAGAUGAUGAUGAUCUUCUGGAAUGACUGGCUGAUGGAGGCGGAUGGCUGCUGCUCUUUUGCCAAAAUAAAAUACCAAAUGCUGCGCACUAUUUUGGGAAUUCUCAAAUGAUUGGCUCAGGAACCAGGAAGGAACACGGCCGGUGAGACUGGGACAAAUUUGAAUUUCUUGCAUGGACAACAUCCCACCGCUUGGCUUUUCUACCUCUCCAAUGAUUUAAUUCUUGCAUAGCGAGGACGGGUG